rnacentral:lncRNA from 1 species
GGUUGAUUUUGGACGAAAAUAAUUAAAUUAAGACAAGAACAAAGUAAACAAAUUCUUAGACAAAUUUAAGUUAAUCAAAACAGAUUGUAAAAUGAAUUUGAAUGAAACUUAUGAAUGGAAGGCUAGCUAGGAGGUUCUUCUCCACACAUGUCACACUUGCAUACAAAAUGAUUUCCAGUUGCUUUUCGAUAAGCUAUGAAUACUCAACGCCCCAAAUUAACCGUGAAU